rnacentral:misc_RNA from 1 species
GUAGGUGAACCUGCGGAAGGAUCAUUAACACGUUACUUAAAAACAACGUAUUAAACCAAACGAGUAACUAGUAAUUGCCCUGUGUGGAAUGGAGAGCGAGACGAGGGGAAGGGUGUGCGAGGUGAAAACCGAGCUGUCCCUUGUUUCUAGUAGUGCAAAGGCAUGGCUGCGUUCUGCGCAAUCAUGCUUGACAUUACAGCUUUACGUCUGCAUAGUUGAUAUAAUACCACUCGCUUAUUAAGCCUGCGCCUUGGCUUGCUUUUGGUGUGCCCAUAUUAUUCACCCCUUUAAAUUAACUACUGAUUUGUACGUUUAUCUUUAUUCCUGUUUUCGAACGGUUGAGUUCAUUUAAAUGUCGUAUAUACUAAUACGAAACAACUCUUAGCAACGGAUAUCUUGGUUCUC